rnacentral:rRNA from 1 species
UACGUAGGGGGCGAGCGUUGUCCGGAUUUAUUGGGCGUAAAGAGCGCGUAGGCGGCCGAGCAGGUCCGUUGUGAAAACUGAAGGCUCAACCUUCAGAGGUCGAUGGAAACCGGUCGGCUAGAGUCCGGAAGAGGAGAGUGGAAUUCCUGGUGUAGCGGUGAAAUGCGCAGAUAUCAGGAAGAACACCCGGGGCGAAAGCGGCUCUCUGGGACGGUACUGACGCUGAGACGCGAAAGCGUGGGGAGCGAACAGG